rnacentral:tRNA from 1 species
GGUGGGUAUAGCUCAGUGGUAGAGUGCAUGCUUAGCAAGCAUGAGGUCCUGGGUUCAAUCCCCAGUGCCUCCA